GGGUCAGUAGGUUGGUCGUGCCACCGGUACGUACUGGUCUCACUGAUUCCUCCUUCCUGAAGAACCGUAAUGCCAUUAAUUUGGUGUGGCGGGGAAACAGGACCGUUACUUUGAAAAAAUUAGAGUGUUUAAAGCAAGCUAACGCUUGAAUACAUUAGCAUGGAAUAAUGAAAUAGGACGAUCGAUCCUAUUUUGUUGGUUUCUAGGAUUGACGUA
rnacentral:rRNA from 1 species